rnacentral:rRNA from 1 species
CCUUUGUACACACCGCCCGUCGCUACUACCGAUUGAAUGGCUUAGUGAGAUCUCCGGAUUGGCUUUGAGAAGCUGGCAACGGCUCUUCAUUGCUGAGAAGCUGAUCAAACUUGGUCAUUUAGAGG